GAAGCGAGGCAUUUUGGCUAGUCACCGCGUUUUUGCUGCGUCACAGGGAGACAGAAGAUGGGCUGCUAUUUCGUCGGCUAAAUGCUAUCAUUUUAAGCACCGUUCCAAAGAAAACAGGGAUCUUGCCAGAGGAAAAUAACAUAUACCAUAAAGGAAAAAGAAAUGUGCAUCAAGGCAAAUAAACAGCUCUCUACUAAGGGCCUAGGAUCUUGCUAGACGAGUCAUUUCUCUGGUUGAAAAGCAGUUGAGAAAGGCAAGACAAGGGGGGCGGGGGCCCAGCAGGGCACCUCUGAGCCCUUCCUGCUGCUCUUCAAAGACAGACGCAUUUUCCUUUCUACGGUCUCCUUGCAAGUCUUCUGUAGGCCCUGCCACCUUCAGGCUGACUGACUGCCUCCUUCAAAUAUCAGCAUUUGGCUCAGAAGAAAAGCCACGUCUGCCUACACAAUCUCACAAUCCGGCUUCAGCAAAGCAUGAGUUAAUUCAACUUCAUACUCGUGAACGUGAAGCGGGGGUUGGAAGGAAUGAAGGCUGCAGGACACCCAUGUACCAAGAAAAAGAAAGACAAAUUGGUUGUUUUAUCUACUUUACAUCAUGAUGGAGUCCUAAAAAGGGCCCCAUGAAGGCAGGCAGCCCAGGGAGGAAUGACUGGACGGUGACAUUGUGCAGGGGGUCUGGAAGUUGCCAGCGCAGGGGUUAGCAGCUGCAGCCUGGCCUGGUCCUGUCUGCCUGGCUGUCAAACCCAGAAGACCGUGGUUUCUGGUGGCCUCUGUGUGACAGCGGAGGAGGUGGGGCGAGGCCUGGAAGUGAAGCAUCUCGUGAGCCACUUAAGUGUUUAUGAAGCUCGCUAAUGUGCUUAAAUGAACGAGAAGCAGGUACUUGCUCCCAGGACCAGAGCCACCAAAGCAAUUUCCUCUGCAGCCCCUCAUACUUCGCACACUGGAAGCUUGCAUUCUUUCCCAGAGGACAGCCGGAUUACAGCACCGCCUCUAAUGCAACCCGAUCUGGUUUCUUUGAGCGCCGCGGUGAACGUGCAAUCUAUCUCAUAAAUGCAUCGCAGUGUUCCACAAAUCACCCACGUUCAUCCCUUGAGACGUCUUUAACUCGGGGCUUAGAGUUGCAAAUGAAUUCUCCUAUGGAUCUAUUAUUCCAUCAAAUAGCGGAGAGAGGGGACUAGCUUGUGCAGAGCCUUCAUAGAGCUGGGCUAAAUUCGAUUAUGCAAAGUCUAACGAGCACCAUUCAGCAAAACCAUGGUGGGUGUGAGCUGCAGGCCAGCCCCUCCACUGGGCCAUUAUCCAGGGGUAAACACCACUCGUGGGUUAGUUCCACGAGUUACUGGCUGAUUUGACCUGUGAUACUCCAAGGUGGAAGUAACCAAAUAAUAUGUAUCAUGAGCCCCAAGAACGAAGCCAGUGGAGAGUGGUACAUGCUAGAGGGUAACGCCUGGCCCUUUGCAGGACAGCACGUCAGCCAUGCGCCAUGGGACGAUGGUGGUGGCUGGGACACAGGAGGCCACGGCAGGAAAUGGGCAGGUGGGUGGGUCUAUGUAAGCUGGCUUUAGACUUCAAUCCACAAGCAUUUGCAGCUCAACUACUCAGCGUCUUAUCUUAUUUAAUCCUUUCAGCAAUAAACACUCUUUUCACAUGUAGUAAGGUUAAGGAGUCUACAUCACACCCUUUAUCAUUAUUAAUAAAGGGACACACCCUCCAGGGAUCCUAGGGAACCUCCUACCCACCCUGUGGUCACUCUAGGGAAAGGAAAGCUCUCAGGGACCGACGGGAGCCUGGGCACAUGCGCCACCACUCUCUCCUUUAUCCCCUCUAGCCCGGCUUGCUGGCUCUCACUUUCUUUUGUGCACUAGAACUCACGUACAAGUUGCACACCCAAACCCUUGCAUGCUGCAUUUCAGAGUCAACUUCAGUGAUUUUUGAGAGUGAUUUUGACAAUCCCAGUCAAAAUUCUAGCAGGUUUUUUUUUUUUACAUGACAAGUGGAUUCUAAAAUUCAUAGGAAAAUGCAAAUGACCUAGAAGAGCCAAAGCAAUUUUGGAAGGAGUAAAGUCGAAUGGCUGACGCUACCAGAUUUCAAGAUUCACUUGAAACGCACAGGAAUCAAGACAGGGUGGUGUCGACAGAAGGAAGGCGUCAGAGCAGGGUGACAGGAGGCAGGGCCACACACAGACGGCUGAUUGAUACCCGACAAAACCGCCGAGGUAAUUUCACAGGGAAAGGAACUCUUUUGAACAAAUGGUGCACCAACAAUUGGAUAACCAUACGGAAAAAAUUUAAAAAACAGAAGAACAUUGACCCUUCACGCACAUCAAACAUAAAUUAACUCAGAAUCCAUCAUAGGCUGGGUGUUGUGGCUCAUGCCUUUAAUCCUAGCACUUUGGGAGGCCA
rnacentral:lncRNA from 1 species